rnacentral:rRNA from 1 species
AACGAACGCUGGCGGCAGGCCUAACACAUGCAAGUCGAGCGAAGCCUUCGGGCUUAGCGGCGGACGGGUGAGUAACGCGUGGGAACGUGCCCUUUGCUACGGAAUAGCCCCGGGAAACUGGGAGUAAUACCGUACGUGCCCUUCGGGGGAAAGAUUUAUCGGCAAAGGAUCGGCCCGCGUUGGAUUAGGUAGUUGGUGGGGUAAUGGCCUACCAAGCCGACGAUCCAUAGCUGGUUUGAGAGGAUGAUCAGCCACACUGGGACUGAGACACGGCCCAGACUCCUACGGGAGGCAGCAGUGGGGAAUCUUAGACAAUGGGGGAAACCCUGAUCUAGCCAUGCCGCGUGAUCGAUGAAGGCCUUAGGGUUGUAAAGAUCUUUCAGUGGGGAAGAUAAUGACUGCACCCACAGAAGAAGCCCCGGCUAACUCCGUGCCAGCCGCCGCCGUAAGAC